rnacentral:rRNA from 1 species
GACGAACGCUGGCGGCGUGCUUAACACAUGCAAGUCGAACGAUGAAGCCCAGCUUGCUGGGUGGAUUAGUGGCGAACGGGUGAGUAACACGUGAGUAACCUGCCCUUGACUCUGGGAUAAGCGCUGGAAACGGCGUCUAAUACCGGAUAUGACAACCGACGGCAUCGUCUGGUUGUGGAAAGAAUUUUGGUCAAGGAUGGACUCGCGGCCUAUCAGCUUGUUGGUGAGGUAAUGGCUCACCAAGGCGACGACGGGUAGCCGGCCUGAGAGGGUGACCGGCCACACUGGGACUGAGACACGGCCCAGACUCCUACGGGAGGCAGCAGUGGGGAAUAUUGCACAAUGGGCGAAAGCCUGAUGCAGCAACGCCGCGUGAGGGACGACGGCCUUCGGGUUGUAAACCUCUUUUAGCAGGGAAGAAGCGAAAGUGACGGUA